GACGAACGCUGGCGGCGUGCUUAACACAUGCAAGUCGAACGGAAAGGCCCUGCUUUUGUGGGGUGCCGGAGUGGCGAAGGGGUGAGUAACAGGUGAGUAACCUGCUCUUGUCUUUGGGAGAACUUCAGGUGACGGGGGCUAAGCUCGGAUAGGAGCCCACGUUGCAGGGUGGGGGUUGGAAAGUCUCGGCGGUUGGGGUUGGACUCGCGGCUGAUCAGCUUGCUAGUGGGGUAGUGGCUUACCAAGGCAUGGACGGGUAGCCGGCCUGAGAGGGGGGCCGGCCACCUUGGGACUGCGGUAGGGAGCAGACUCCAACGGUGGACAAUGGUGGCGAGUAUUGCACAGUGGGCGCGAGCGGGUUGCAGAGGCGCCGCGUGCGGGAAGCCGUCCUGCGGGUUGUGAACCGCUUUCGCCUGUGACGAAGCGGGAGUGACGGUAAUGGGUAAAGAAGCACCGGCUAACUACGUG
rnacentral:rRNA from 1 species